rnacentral:rRNA from 1 species
UGGGGGAUAUUGCACAAUGGGGGAAACCCUGAUGCAGCGACGCCGCGUGAGUGAAGAAGUAUUUCGGUAUGUAAAGCUCUAUCAGCAGGGAAGAAAAUGACAGUACCUGAACAAGAAGCCCCGGCUAACUACGUGCCAGCAGCCGCGGUAAUACGUAGGGGGCAAGCGUUAUCCGGAUUUACUGGGUGUAAAGGGAGCGUAGACGGUUAUGUAAGUCUGAAGUGAAAGCCCGGGGCCCAACCCCGGGACUGCUUUGGAAACUGUGUAACUGGAGUACAGGAGGGGCAGGCGGAAUUCCUGGUGUAGCGGUGAAAUGCGUAGAUAUCAGGAGGAACACCGGCGGCGAAGGCGGCCUGCUGGACUGAAACUGACGUUGAGGCUCGAAAGCGUGGGGAGCAAACAGGAUUAGAUACC